rnacentral:rRNA from 1 species
AUUUCGGUAGCCUGAUAGCGGCGAACGGGUGAGUAACACGUUGGUGACCUGCCCUAAAGUGGGGGACAACUCCUCGAAAGAGGAGCUAAUACCCCGGAUGUCUGAGAGGUUAGAAGCCUCAGACUAAAGUUUUUCGGAAUGCUUUGGGAGGGGCCUGCGGGCUAUCAGCUAGUUGGUGAGGUAAAGGCUCACCAAGGCGAAGGCGGCUAGGGGGCGUGAGAGCGUGACCCCCCACAAGGGAACUGAGAGACGGUCCCUACUCCUACGGGAGGCAGCAGUGAGGAAUAUUGAGCAGUGGGCGCAAGCCUGACUCAGCAACGCCGCGUGGAUGAAGAAGGCCUUCGGGUUGUAAAAUCCUUUUCUGGGGGAAGAUAAUGACGGUACCCCAGGAAUAAGUUCCGGCUAACUACGUGCCAGCAGCCGCGGUAAAACGUAGGGGACGAGCGUUAUCCGGAUUUACUGGGCGUAAAGCGCAUGUAGGUGGCGCGGAAAGUUGGACGUGAAAGCUCCCGGCUUAACUAGGAGAGGUCGUACAAAACUACCGAGCUUGAGGUUGGAAGAGGAGAGCGGAAUUCCCGGUGUAGUGGUGGAAUGCGUAGAUAUCGGGAGGAACACCAGUGGCGAAAGCGGCUCUCUGGUUCAAUACUGACACUGAGAUGCGAAAGCGUGGGGAGCGAACGGGAUUAGAUACCCCGGUAGUCCACGCUGUAAACGAUGGCUACUAGGUGUAGGCGGUCAUUAACCCCGUCUGUGCCGAAGCUAACGCGUUAAGUAGCCCGCCUGGGGACUACGGCCGCAAGGUUAAAACUCAAAGGAAUUGACGGGGGCCCGCACAACCACCGGAACGUGUGGUUUAAUUCGAUGAUACGCGAAAAACUUUACCUGGGUUUGACAUAGGG